UCUCUCUUCCUCUUCUAUUUUUUAAUUUUUUUUAAAUUUUUUUAAUGUUUUGAGGCAGGAUCUUGCUGUUUCACUCAGGCUGGGGUGUAGUGGUGCAAUCACAGAUCACUGAAGCCUUGACCUCCCAGGUUAAAGUGAUCCUUCUGCCUCAGCCUUCUGAGUAGUUGGGACUACAGGUGCACACUACCAUGCCUGGCUAAUCUUUGUGUUUUUGUAGAGAUGGGGUUUUUGCCAUGUUUCCCAGGCUGAUUUCAAACACCUGAGCUCAAGCAAUGCGCCUGCUUUGGCCUCUCAAAGUGCUGGGCUUACAGGUGUGAGCCGCCAUGCCUGGCCUAUUUUAUCUUCUUAUAAACCAAUCAGUCUCACUCUCAUGAAAAUCCAUUAAUCCAUUAACUGAAUAAUCUAUGAAUGAAUUAACUCAGUCAUGAGGGCAGAUCCUUCACGGUCCAUUCACCUCUUAAAGGCCCUACUUCUCAAUACUGCAAAAUUAGAGAUUAAAUUUCAACAUGAAUUUUGGAGGAAACAAAUAUUCAAACAAUAGCAUUUUGCACCUAGCCACAUAAAACUCAUGUCCUUCUCACAUACAGUUACACCCAUUCCAUCUCCAUAGUCCCAGAGUCUUAACUUGCAUCAGCACCAGUUCAAAAGUCCAAAGUCCAGAGUUUUAUCUGUGAGCCUGCAAAAUCAAUACAAGUUAUCUACUUCCAUGAUGAGAUGGUGGUACAGGAACAAGAUAUUCUUAUUCCAAAAGGGAAAAAUAAGUAAAACAGAAGGAAUAACAGACCUCUAGUAAGUCUAAAACCCAGAGACAUUAAAUCUUAAAAAAGCAAAUAAUCUCUUUUAACUCCAUGUGCUACCUCUUGGGCACAUUGAGAUAACAGUUGGGUCUUUAAGGCCUCAGGCAGCUCUGUCCCCAUGUCUUUGCUGGCUGUAGCCCACAUGGCUACUUGUACAGGUUAGGGUUGGAUACCUGAAGCUUUCUCAGGCAAGCAUUCCAUGCUGCUGGUGACUCCACAGUUCUGGAGUCUCCCUGGUCAUAUAGCUGCCAUGGCUCCACAGGCAUUGUCCUGGUAGGGACUCUACAACAGCCUCAACUCCACAUUUUUUCUGCUCAGCACUGCCCUAGAAGGGGCUAUUUGUGGUGACUCUGCUCUAGGACAAUGGUCCCUAGGCUUUUGAUGACAUCUUUUGAAAUUUGGGUGGAGGCUGUGAAGCCUCCACAGCUCUUGCUUUCUGCAAGCCUUUAGAAUUGGCACCAUGUGGAUGUUGCUAAUACAACUUGUACCUUAUGGAGUUGCAAGAACCACAGCUGGGGCCACUGGAGCCAGGGCUGGAGUGGACAUGGAGUGGUGCACUAGGGUGCAAUAAGUGGGGUGCACUAAGCAGAGUCCAAGGUGGCCCUGGGUAAUGAACCCCUAGAGAGCAUCCAGGGCCUUCCCCAUAAAACCAUUUGGCCUCCAAGAUCUCUGGGAUUGUGCUGGGAAGGGCAGCCUUGAAAAUCUCUAAAAUGCUUUUGGGACUCUUUCUACCACUGUCAAGGAAUAGCAGCUGACUCCCUUCUAUCUAUGCUAAUCUCUUUAGCAAAUUGUCUUUGGGCUACACCCAGGACAAAGUAUGUUUUACUGAACACACGUUUUCACUCUUUCUAUGGUGGAGCUGAGAAUUUUCCAAAUCUUUCUGCCCUGCUUCUCUUUUAAUUUUAAUUUCUGUCUUUAAAUUAUUCCUUUUCUCCAGAAUCUCAGCAUAAGUUGCCAAAAGUAACCCUGCAAAUUCUUCCAUAUUUUGCAUAGAAAUUUCUUCUGCCAGAUAUCCUAGUUCAUCACUCUCAAGUUUAAUCUUUCACAAAGCCCUCAGGCAUGGACAUAAUUCAGCCAAAUUCUUUGCCAAUUUAUGACAAGAACGGCUUUUUCUUUUUUCAGUUCCCAAUACCUUGUUCAUCAGUUCCAACUGAAAUUGCAGCAGAAUAGCCUUUAAUCUGCAUAUGCUUAUCAGCAUCCUGGUCACAACAACUUAAUCAAUCUCUAAUGAGUUCCACACCUUCCCUAGUCAUCUUGUCUUCUAAGCCCUCACAAGAAUCUAGGCUUUUUAUAGUCUGCCCCCCUAACUUCUUCCAGCCUCUCCCCAUUACCCAGUUCCAAAGCCACUUCUGCAUUUUCUGGUAUUUAUUAUCAGCAAUAUGCCAUUUUUUGGUACCAAUUUUCUGUCUUAAUCCAUUUUCUGUUACUUAUAAAAAAAAUACCUGAAAGUAGCUAUCUUACAAAGAGAAAAAGUAUAUUUCUUUCAUUUAUGGAGGCUGAGAAUACCAAGAUCAAAGAAUGACAGGUUAGAUCUCACUAAGGCAGGCCUCCAUAACUACUGUUUCAGUACUGACUGAGUGGUUAAGUUAAAUAUUAAAAGCUAAAAAAAGCCAGUGCCUUUAUUCAAAGACUGGAAGGUAACAAAAGGCCACCAAGAGUUUCUCCCUAGGCCUUUCCUGGGCCUUAAAGCAUGAUAAAAUAAUGGAGGGAUUCUUAAUAAGACCCAUUUAAGAUUAAACAAGUUUUAUUCGGAGGUCUGAAGAAACUCCCCAGGCCUCCACAAACAAGUUUAUUGGGGGUCUGAAGGAACUCUCCAAACCUCCCUGAUUUAGCAGAAGAUAAGAUAAGGGUAAUCACCCGAGCACCUGGACCAAUUUAGAUUAAGUAAAUUUACUGAGGCUCCAGAAGAAGGUCUUUAGGACUCAGACCUUAAUUAUAGAUUAAAAGAAGUUAAUCACUUAUGUCUUUAGAUGAAUGCACACUUACAUGUAAACAUAUAGCUUAGAAGGUAUAUAAACUCUGGAAAACUGUAAUUUUGAGUUGGUCUGGCAGUAAUUUCCAGGCCUUCUCCCUGUAACCAGUUGCAGAAAUAAAAACUCUCUUCCUACCCAGUUCAUUUGCAUCUUGUUAUUGGGCACGAGAAAUAGCAGCCCAAUCCUCAGUUUGGUCAGGAACAAAAGGGCUUCAUCUUUUGAGGGCCUUUGUGCUGGCAGGACUCUCCAUGGAGUCCUGAGGCAGUUCAGAAUGCAAAUGCAAUAGAUUCAUUGCCAGAUGUGCACAGCAAGUCAAUAUGCCAAGACACCAAUUUGCAGCAGGGAAAAAGUAUUAAUCAUGGGGCUGCUGAAUGAGCAGAUGAGAGAAACUUCAAAUUUUGGAGGGGGCCAAAGUGUAGAGAUUAUCAGUUGGUCAAUGAGUGCAGGGUGAAGUUAUGGGCUAUGCAUGCUAGCUUGGGUCUUUCUUCCUUUUCUUUAAAACCACUAGUUCUACUUCAGUGAUAACCCAUUAAUCAUUAACUCAGUAAUCCAUUAAUCUGUAAAUGGGUCCCAGUCACCUCUUAAAGGCCCCACUUCUCACUACUGCCACAUUGGAAAUUAAAUUUCAAAACAUGAGUUUUGAAGGGGACAGAUACUCAAAGGAUAGCAUCAUUAUUUGAUAUAUGGUUUGCAACUAUUUUUUUCCCAUUAUAUAGGUCACCUUUAUAUUUUGUUGAUUAUUUUGUUUGCUGUAAAGAGACUUAAUUUUGAUGUAGUCCCACUCGUUUUGUUUGUUUGCUUGCCUUUUAUGCAUGCGCUUUCAAUAUCAUAUCCAAAAAUCAUUGCCAAGACCAAGACCCUUGUAAAGGAGAUUCUCCAUGAUUUAUUCUAGGAGUUUUGUAAUUUUAGAUCUUACAUUUAAAUUAUUAAUGCAUUUUAAGUCGAAUAUUGUAUAAGGUGAAAGCUAAAAAUCCAACCUCAUUUUGUCACCAGUCAAUAUACAGUUUUCCCAAUUUGAUAUACAGUUUUCCCAACACCAUUUAUUCUGUGUAUUCUUGGCACCUUUGUCAAAGAUUUGAUCAUGUAUAUGUGGGUUUACUUCUGGGCUUUUUACUCUGUUCCAUUGGGAUGUGUUUUUUUAUGCUAAUACCAAAUUAUUUUGACUAGGGCUUUGUAAUAUUAAUUUAGAAUCAGGAAAUAUGAUGGAUCCAUCUUUGAUUUUCCUACUCAAGCUUACUUUAGCUAUUCAGGGUGUUUUGUGGUUCCAUAUGGAUUUUAUAAUUGAUUUUUCUAUUACUGUAAAAAUGUCAUUGGAAUAUUUUCUUUUUUUUUGUGAUGGAGUCUCGCUCUGUUGCCCAGGCUGGAGUGCAGUGGCAUGAUCUCGGCUCACUGCAAACUCCGCCUCCUGGGUUCAUGCCAUUCUCCUGCCUUAGCCUCCCGAGUAGCUGGGACUACAGGCUCCCACCACCAUGCCCGGCUAAUUUUUUUUAUUUUUGGUAGAGACAGGUUUCAUGCGCGUUUGUGUGAAGAGACCACCAAACAGGGUUUGUGUGAGCAACAUGGCUGUUUAUUUCACCUGGGUGCAGGCGGGCUGAGUCUGAAAAGAGAGUCAGCGAAGGGAGAUAGGGGUGGGGCCGUUUUUUAGGAUUUGGGAAGGUAAUGGAAAAUUACAGUCAAAGGGGGUUGUUCUCUGGUGGGCAGGGUUGGGGGUCACAAGGUGCUCAGUGGGGGAGCUUCUGAGCCAGGAGAAGGAAAUUCACAGGGUUAAUCACUCAGUUAAGGUGGGGCAGGAACAAAUCACAAUGGUGGAAUGUCAUCAGUUAAGGCGGGGCAGGGCCUUUUCACUUCUUUUGUGAUUCUUCAGUUACUUCAGGCCAUCUGGGCAUAUAUGUGCAAGUCACAGGAGAUGCGAUGGCUUGGCUUGGGCUCAGAGGCCUGACAAUCCUGCCUUCUUAUAUUAAUAAGAAAAAUAAAACAGUGUUGAAGUCUUGGGGUGGUGAAAAUUUUGGGGGGGUGAUAUGGAGAGAGAAUGGACGAUGUUUCUCAGGGCUGCUUCAAGCGGGAUUAGGGGCGGCGUGGGAACCUAGAGUGGGAGAGAUUAAGCUGAAGGAAGAUUUUGUGGUAAGGGGUGAUAUUGUGGGGUUGUUAGAAGAAACAUUUGUCAUUUAGAAUGAUUGGUGAUGGCCUGGAUACGGUUUUGUAUGAAUUGAAAAACUAAAUGGAAUAAGAGAAGGAGAAAAACAGGUAUAAAAGGUCUAAGAAUUGGGAGGACCUAGGACAUCUGAUUAGAGAGUGCCUAAGGAGAUUCAGCAUAGUCCUGCCAGCCAAGAUUAUUUAUUUACUUCAAGAGUUAAGAGUGGCGGUUUGGGGAUAGCACGAGGAGAUAUCAGCUGUGAUGGCUUGGAGAAACAGUGUAAACCGGCAGUGUAAACAAGAGCAGGGCAUGUAUGAGUAGUUGAGAACGGAGAAUAGGAGUAUGACUAGACAGAAGAUAGUAGGGAUGACAAGUUUUUUUUGGGGCACACUCUAAGUUGGUCCGGUGUUUGGAAUGAGACUGGGGCCUAAUAAAAAGGAGCAUCUAUACAGGAGCCCAAAUGGGCUGUACCUUGUAGCAUUCUGAGGACGGGUCUGACUUCUGAGAAGGGAAAGUGGUAAAAGUAUUGUCCAGUUCUUUUUAAGUUGGUGGCUGAGCUUGGUGAGGUGUGUUUUUGAAAGACCUUUAGUCCGUUCUACUUUUCUUGAAGACAGACGACUAUAAGGGAUAUAAAGGUUUCACUGAAUACUAAGAGCCUGAAAAACUGCUUGGCUGAUUUGACUAAUAAAGGUUGGUCUGUUAUCAGACUGUAUAGAGGUGGGAAGGCUAAACUGAGGGAUUAUGUCUGACAGAAGGGAAGAAAUGACUGCAGUGGCCUUCUCAGACCCUGUAGGAAAGGCCUCUACCUAUCUAGUGAAAGUGUCUACUUAGACUAAGAGGUAUUUUAGUUUUUGUGACUCAGGGCAUGUUGAGUAAAGCUAAUUUGCCAGUUCCGGGGGCGGGGGCAGGGGGCAAAUCCUCAAGUUUGAUGUGUAGGGAAGGGAGGGGUCCUGAAUAAUCCUUGAGGAGUAGUAGAAUAGCAGAUAGAAUAGCAGAUGGAACACUGAGAAAUUAUUUCCUUGAGGAUAGAUUUCUACAAUGGAAAGGAAAUGAGAGGUUCUAAGAGGCGGGCUAGUGGCUUGUACUAUAGCAUAGCCUGCCUUUGCUGGUGUGUGGCGAUUAGGCCUGGUGGAACUGCCAUCAAUAAAUCAAGCGUGAUCAGGGUGAGGAACAGGAAAGAAGGAAAUAUGGGGAAAUGUGGUGAAUGUCAGGUGGAUCAGAGACAUACAGUCAUGGGGGUCAGGUGUGGUAUCAGGAAUAAUGUGGGAGGCCAGAUUGAAGUCUGGGCCAGGAACAAUGGUAAUUGUGGGACUUAACAAAGAGUGAGUACAGCUGAAGGAGCCGGGGAGCAGAAAGUAUAUGCAUCAGGUAUGAGGAAGAAAAUAGAUUUUGGAAGUUAUGAGAAAUGUAGAGAGUAAGUUGAGCAUAGUUUAUGAUUUUUAGGGCCUCUAAAAGUAUUAGGGUGGCAGCAGCCGCUGCACGGAGACAUGAGGGCUAGGCUAAAACAGUAAGGUCAAGUUGUUUGGACAGAAAGGCUACAGGGUGCGGUCCUGGCUCUUGUGUAAGAAUUCUGACCACACUAACCAUGCCUAGGAAGGAAAGGAGUUGUUGUUUUGUAAGGGAUUGAGGUUGGGGAGAUUAAUUGGACACGAUCAGCAGGGAGAGCACCUGUGUUUUUAUGAGAAUUAUGCUGAGAUAGGUAACAGAUGAGGGUGAAAUUUGGGCUUGACUGAAGUAAUGGGGGCUGUCUGUGAAGCCUUGCGGCAGUACAGCCCAGGUAAUUUGCUGAGCCUAAUGGGUGUUAGGGUCAGUCCAGCUGAAAGCGAAGAGAGGCUGGGAUGAUGGGUGCAAAGGAAUAGUAAAGAAAACAUGUUUGAGAUCCAGAACAGAAUAAUGGAUUGUGGAGGGAGGUAUUGAGGAUAGGAGAGUAUAUGGGUUUGGCACCAUAGGGUGGAUAGGCAAAACAAUUUGGUUGAUAAGGCAUAGAUCCCGAACUAACUUGGAAGGCUUGUCUGGUUUUAGGACAGGUAUAAUGGGGGAAUUGUAAGGAGAGUUUAUAGGCUUUAAAAGGCCAUGCUGUAGCACGCAAGUGAUAACAGGCUUUAAUCCUUUCAAAGCAUGGUGUGGGAUGAGAUAUUGGCAUUGAGCGGGGUAAGGGUGAUUAGGUUUUAAUGAGAUAGUAAGGGGUGCAUGAUCAGUUACCAAGGAGGGAGUAGAGGUAUCUUAUUCCUGUGGGUUAAGGUGGGGGAAUACAAGAGGAGGACGCAAAGGAGGCUUUGGAUUGGGAAGAAGGGCAGCAAUGAGAUGUAGCUGUAAUCCAGGACUAGUCAGGGAAGCAGAUAAUUUAGUUAAAGUGUCUCGGCCUAAUAAGGGAACUGAGCAGGUGGGGAUAACUAAAAGAGUGCUUAGAAGAGUAUUGUCUCAGUUGGCACCAGAGUUGGGGAGUUUUAAGAGGUUUAGAAGCCUGGCCGUCAAUACCUACAACAGUUACGGAGGCAAGGGAAACAGGCCCUUGAAAAGAAGGUAAUGUGGAGUGGGUAGGCUCCAUAUUGAUUAAGGGGACGGACUUACCUUCCACUGUGAGAGUUACUCGAAGCUCAGCGUCUGUGAUGAUCUAUGGGGCUUUCGAGGUGAUCGGGCAGCGUCAGUCUUCAGCUGCUAAGCCGAGAAGGAGUCAGAGAGCCUUGGGCCAGAAUUCCAGGGGCUCUGGGAGUGCCUGCCAGGCUGGAGGGCAAUGGCGUGGUUUUGCUCACUGCAACCUCCGCCUUCCAGGUUCAAGGAUUCUUCUGCAUCAGCCUUGCAAUUAGCUAGGAAUACAGGUGCUGUAGUGACUGAAGACAUCCUUAAUGAAUAAUAGAGUUUUGCUUUUGAAAAUCAGCAUUUGUCUACUUCCUCAGUGUACAGAAAGUGAUGGCCCAAUUAUUGAAAAAUUUGAGUUUCAUUUCAUUGUGAUUGGAAGAGACACACUCCAUCCACUCUCUAUGAAAAGCAUCCGUGUACCUUCUUCCUCUUGGUCACUAGACAAGAGCCUGGAACUCACUGAACUGUGGGAGUGAAAGAGCUGUAACUCUCCUGCUCUCUGAUCUAUGGACAGGGGGACUAAAAGAGCUAUAACACUCCUGCCUUGCAAACUACAGUAGUAAAAAAGAAACACAAAAGUACCAUCAAAAGUUUCUGGUGAAAAUUGAAUUACCAAAAACAUUGAAAGUGCUUAAAACAGUACCUGCAACAUAGUAAGAGCUCAACAAACGUUAUUCAUUUAUGUUCAUAAUUUGGAUUGAUAAAUUACCCUACUGAAAAAUAAAUACUUUCAGAUUGAAUUUAAAAGCAAUAAUAAAAUCUCUUGAUGCUUAAAAGAGAUGAACAAGACAGCAAAUAAACUUCAAUGCUGAAAAUAAGAACAAUAUACAAAUUUUUAUCAAGGAAAUCUCAGGGACCCUGUAAACAGUCGUUCUGUUCAUAUUUGUUGUUGUUUCUUUAGAGGAGGGCAUCUAGGCAAUAAGAAAACUGGAAUGUGAAAUCUAUCUACUUUUCUGUUUCCAAAGCUCAGAAUUAUGUUAAUUUUACUGAACCAACUAACAGGAGGGGUGACUUUUUGUCAUUUAUAGAAAAGCAUUAUAGAUAAUAUUCAGGGGAUUCACUAAAAUAACAAGACACUCUGUGCAAUUGCCUAUUGGUAUUUGAGUUCCAGUGUAAAACCUAAAAUAAUUUGUUUAAAGUUAAAACAGUAUAACAACAUGACUUUAAAAGUUAUUACUUCACAUUCCAAGAUCAGAGAUCCUACCAUCUCUGGGGCCUGCCAAAAGUCGAUGAUACAGUCAUUUCAGCAGAAUCAUUCACUUGAUUACAUAAAGGGAAGAUUGGGAAAGAAAAGAUGGUGACUUUUGAGGAGAGUGCAGAGUGCCUAAAGGAAGAUCAUUGUGCUUCUCUAUCUGCUGUGAUAAAGGGGAGAGAGGGACACUUCUCUCUAGCAAAAGAUCUGCUUCUUCUGGACUUUGGACACAAGCUUAGGAAAGAAUUGGCAGAGCUGAUAGAGAGUGUCAUUAGCAGAAGCAUGCAUUUCCACCAUGUGGUUUGAAAAGUACCUAUGAAAUUUGCUGGGUUUGAUGGACGCCACUGAGGGGAACCUGACUUGAAGCAUCUUACUACUGCCCCUCCUGGAACCACUCUGUGCAUAGGAAUACUCAACUGAUGACAAUGAGUGAUUUAUGACACAACUGAAAAGAGAAGGAAGAAGCCGAGCCUAUGCUGGGAAUUCUAUGCCCAGAGUCUGCAUAGUGUACAGCUUUAUAAAACCCCUAAAUGUGUCUGACACAGAGUUUUCAUUUGGACUUGCAGCCUUAGGAAGGAGCAACAGCCUGCAGAAAUUCUUGUGAUAUUUUCAACGUACUUUAAGUGAGACACUGAAAAUUUGCUACUCUCCCAAUAAUAUUACGAAUUAUGAAGUCAUGACUCAUCUUUUCCAUUAUAUAGCUUUAUGAAAUUCACUUAAAGAUGAUUAUUUAAAAGCGUGUUUAGUAGGUAAGAAUAUACUAAGAAGAUAUUAUUAAAUGGUUUAAUUAUAUCAUGAAUCCUUUUAUAGUUUAGGAAUGUUAUUUUUAAUUAGCAAUUCUAGACAUGACUGGAUGGUGAGAACCAAGAUCAUAAUGCCAGCUGUGUUUGGCUAGCAUUAGAUGUGAUCUUCUGUUGAUCUUGGUUUGAGCCUUAAUCUUAUCCUCCUUUGUUGCUAUUGGAUGGUAAAAGCACCAUAAUGUUGAUCGUGCCAAAAAGGAAUAUUUAAACACUAACACUGCUCAAAGGUCUGAGAACUUAAGCUAACAAAAUUAUGGUUCUUUUUUUCCUCUCUUUCUGGCAUUUGGUUAAAUAGCUUCUAAUUACCCAAUUUGGGAGAAGUUCUGAAACCAUGUCCCAAAGAGUUAAAGCAACCAGUGACUAACAGAAAUUCUUGAGUUUGCAGAAUGGUGGAUAAGAAAGGAAACAACUUGCUAAAACACUGAAACUCCCUCCACUUAUGAGAUAAAAGAACUGGCUGAAAUCAGUUUGGUCAACUGGAGUUUGUGCGGAAGUAGCUUGCUGACAUCAUAGCCUGAAUUUUCAUUGCAUGUCUCAUACCAACUCCCUCCAGAAUCUGCACAUGCAAAUGAGUUAGCAUAAAAAAGGUAACUGUGCAUGCCCAAGGACUUUCCAGACCUCUCCUUUCCUUCCACCAAUAAAACCUGAUAAUCUCAGAAUCCAACCCCUGAAUCUUUUCUAAUGAAAAUAUAGUCUUGAAGCCAGCACAGGGAGACAGCUUGGAGCUUGACUCCUGUCUCCUCGGGAGUGGACUUUCAAUAUAAAGCUUUUCUGUCCUCAAAAACCUGGUAUAGUAUUGGCUUCUAGCGUAUUCAGCAGCAAGCCCCUUUUGCUUGAUAAAGUUCCAGGAUCCUUCCUGCCAGAGGUUUUGCAUGUCCCUCUUUUUCCAUUGCUUCUCUUGGCCCCUAACAUCUGUUCAUCUCAUUAACUCUUACUCUGUUUUUCAAUUCAAAAACAAUAAUAGCUUUAAAGAAACAUUCCUAACCUUCUCAAAUGCAUUCGUUUUUCUAAUGUAUACUUUAAUAGAACAAUGUACUUCUUCCUCUCAUCUCUCUCACAACAUAAAUUUACCCUAGUGUGAUUUGGUGAUAAAUAUCUGUCACUAUACUAGAUUGUAUAUUCAAGUCAUGUGGAGAAUGUGUCUGUUUUCGUUCAUGAUGGUGUCUACAUUAAAUAAUCCAAUGUGACAAGAAAUAUUUGUUCAAUGAAUGAGCUCCCUGAUGAAUGGAUAAAAUGAUGCUCUGAUAUGUAUGAAUGUUGAUAUUAGACACACUUAUCAAUUAUAUGUACUGUAAAUAGCAUGUAGUAGCAUUUCAAUGAGUAUUUGCUGAUUGACAGAUUUGACUAUCAAUCCCUGCUCUGAUUUCCUUUUGGGAUUUGAUUAUAUUCUUUGUACCCCUUCCAGCUUUAUUAAAGUAUAAUUGACAAAUAAGAU
rnacentral:lncRNA from 1 species